rnacentral:rRNA from 1 species
UAGUGAUUAGAGUUUGAUCAUGGCUCAGAUUGAACGCUGGCGGCAUGCCUUACACAUGCAAGUCGAACGGUAACAGGUCUUCGGAUGCUGACGAGUGGCGAACGGGUGAGUAAUACAUCGGAACGUGCCCGAUCGUGGGGGAUAACGGAGCGAAAGCUUUGCUAAUACCGCAUACGAUCUACGGAUGAAAGCAGGGGACCGCAAGGCCUUGCGCGGACGGAGCGGCCGAUGGCAGAUUAGGUAGUUGGUGGGAUAAAAGCUUACCAAGCCGACGAUCUGUAGCUGGUCUGAGAGGACGACCAGCCACACUGGGACUGAGACACGGCCCAGACUCCUACGGGAGGCAGCAGUGGGGAAUUUUGGACAAUGGGCGAAAGCCUGAUCCAGCCAUGCCGCGUGCAGGAUGAAGGCCUUCGGGUUGUAAACUGCUUUUGUACGGAACGAAAAGACUCCUUCUAAUAAAGGGGGUCCAUGACGGUACCGUAAGAAUAAGCACCGGCUAACUACGUGCCAGCAGCCGCGGUAAUACGUAGGGUGCAAGCGUUAAUCGGAAUUACUGGGCGUAAAGCGUGCGCAGGCGGUUAUAUAAGACAGAUGUGAAAUCCCCGGGCUCAACCUGGGAACUGCAUUUGUGACUGUAUAGCUAGAGUACGGUAGAGGGGGAUGGAAUUCCGCGUGUAGCAGUGAAAUG